rnacentral:lncRNA from 1 species
AGAGAGAACAGAAUAAUGCUAUGAGCCCUCAAGACUCACUCUGUGACAUCCAUCCUCUAGCUCAGCUCUACCUCCUAAAGAUUCCAUAACCUGUGAAACAGCAGCACUGGAGACCAGUGUUCAGUGUGUGCGCGUGAGGGGGCAUGGCUCAUUCAAACCAUCACACCCCUAGAUACCAGCAUGUAUGAUGAGCAAGCUUCCAUCCUCUCAUCCUUACAGAGAUGAGAUAUGUCCUCAAUAUGUCUUGGAAAAAUUAUAGGGACUUUGUAAUCCUCUGUAUAUUAACCAGCCAGAAAGUCCCUAUGGGAAGGGAGAAAGAAAGAAAGAAGGGGGAUUCAGUAAGAAUUAUGUGUGUUGUGUACAUCUUGCUGGCCUCCUUGCAGUCAGAAUACAGCUUAUCACCAGGUCCCUGAGUUGAAGCCACAAUGCAAGUCUUCUGCCCAGGCCAAUGUUUCAUGAUGAACUGUGUAGAAGUAGAGAGCCAGCAUCUCAGGAUCCAGUCUGCACCUCACACAUAAGAAUCUCUGGAGUUAGAAUGAUCACAUGCAUGGCCACCAGGGGAGCCUUCAAGAACAUAGCUGGACAGCAUGCAUCUUUGUUGGAGACAGCAAGAGAGAACUGCCUUAUGAAGACAAGGAUUUAAUUGUUAGAACAAUGCCAAAGACAUGAUGUGCCACAUAAUAUGAAGACCAGACCAGUUUCUUCUAUUUCUGUAUACUUGCUCUCUUUGAUGGUAAAGAUAUACUCAGACUUGACUUUUAAGACUUACUAGUCUUGAAGAAAAAGUAAAGAUGGAUCAAUAACUCAUAAGCAGUGACCAACUGGCAAAACCUCAAAACUACAGCAGUGACCUUAGCAUCACACACUCAGGUAUCUCUCCUUUCCUUCUGUGUAGCAGUAGGUGUGGGCAUCAGCCACACAGCAAUGAACACAAUGGAGGAGGGAGAUGGAAGAUUCUACAACUUCCAGAAAAGCAAAAUGUAUCCAAAUCCCAUGUGCUUAUUGUAAAUCUGCCUUAGGGAUCAGUGGUACAUGAAGCUGGAGAAAAGCAAGGGCAAGAAAUAUACUACAGCAACAGAGAAGCAGCAACUGAAUAUAGUAGUAAUAUUCUACUAUUGCUGACUUCAGUGGCAACAUGAGCACUUUCCAUUUCUGAAAUGCCAAAUAAGAUAAAAAGAGGCCUCACUGAAGAACAAACAUGGCCUACUGUCUCCAAACUGGGACUCAGAGGCUAACUCGCAGUGGUGGGGGCCUGGUUGUUCAAUUAAAUGCUUAGUUCUCAGUUCUCAUGUUUCAUUGACCUAGCAGCAGCAUUUGAAGCUGCAGGUAAUGUCUUUGUCUGGACCCUGAUCUUCUAGAACAUCUCUCUCUCUCUUUUCCUUUAUCCUCCUGUUAAUCUCUCUUCAGUUUCUUUAGAUAAGCUUCCCGAUGGCAGGACCAAAAUUGUGGGUGACCUCCCCGAAGUGCACAUCGCAGGAUGAUUAAGCUUGCCAUUCAUCUGAACCAUGUUUAAGGUGUCUUGCUCUUCUCCAGCUUGGAGUAGCAAGCCUGCCUCCUCAUGAUUGCUGAUUGUUUACUUGAAGUCUGGCAUUGUUUCUGUAGCUGGGUGUUGGGGGGUAGUGAAGGGCUCUGCAGAGCUCUCUACCUCUGAUAAACCUAUGCUUAGUCCCAAUCACCAUUUCAGGAGCUGUACUUUAGGACCCUGAUCUUCAUUUCCGGAACGAGGCAACGGUGUCUGUGGCAAAAUUUAGAUCAUUGUAUUAACACCCAGAUCAGAGCUGCAUGGCAAGAACCAUUUUCUCCUUCCUGAGAUAAUACCACUAAAGCACUGGGCAUCCCACUGGACUCCAUCGUGCAGCCAAGCACAAACUCAAAGCCUGCGUGUGUAGCCCUUCCUGUGAGGACCAUCUACGAGUAGCCUGGCACAGUUUCCUCAGAGACUCAGCUCAGGGUUUCUUUUAUUUUGUUUGUUUGGUUUUUUUGGGGGGGUGGUGGGAUUUUUCCCCCGCCUUUGUCAUCACUGAGGUGUUCACACUUGGAGCUGAAUUUCUGAAUUAAAUUGGAUAGUGUCCUUCUACAGGAAGCAGGGAAAGAU